CUAUUAGCCAACAACAUUUACUUUCCUAUUAUAUACUUGGGUGUCUUGUCCAUUGGUGCCAUUGCCACUGCCAUUAAUCGUCUCAAUAGUCUCCCUGAGAUACAGAAGCAAUUGAACCAUUGCUUAAGAAGAAAUGGUAAGCAGCAAAAAUGGGAGAUGUAACUACAGUAACUCUUUUGAUGGGUGUGGGGAUCUCAAGGAAAUGAAGAAAGGGUUGGAAACCCUGUUUUGUCUACUGCUCAGGGUAACAAAACUUGAAGAUAAUCAAGUAUGGAUCUCAUAGAUUUUUAAGUUCUUGGUUUCAAUGAAGUGGGUUUCUGUGAUAAUCUUGUUAUUUUGGAGCUUGGACUGAUAAUUGAGUGGAAAA